rnacentral:rRNA from 1 species
CCUACGGGAGACAGCAGUGAGGGAUAUUGCACAAUGGGGGAAACCCUGAUGCAGCAACGCCGCGUGUGGGAAGAAGGUUUUCGGAUUGUAAACCACUGUUCUUGGUGAAGAUAAUGACGGUAACCAAGGAGUAAGCUCCGGCUAACUACGUGCCAGCCGCCGCGGUAAUACGUAGGGCGCAAGCGUUGUCCGGAUUUACUGGGUGUAAAGUGUGCGUAGGCGGUCUUGCAAGUCAGACGUGAAAGCCACGGGCUAAACCUGUGGACUGCGGUUGAAACUGUGGGGCUUGAGUGAAGUAGAGGUGGGCGGAAUUCCCGGUGUAGCGGUGAAAUGCGUAGAGAUAGGGAGGAACACCAGUGGCGAAGGCGGCCUACUGGGCUUUAACUGACGCUGAGGCACGAAAGCAUGGGUAGCAAACAGGAUUAGAUACCCUGGGAAUC